rnacentral:rRNA from 1 species
UACAGAGGUCUCAAGCGUUGUUCGGAUUCAUUGGGCGUAAAGGGUGCGUAGGCGGCGCGGUAAGUCGGGUGUGAAAUCUCGGGGCUUAACUCCGAAACUGCAUUCGAUACUGCCGUGCUUGAGGACUGGAGAGGAGACUGGAAUUUACGGUGUAGCGGUGAAAUGCGUAGAUAUCAGGAGGAACACCGGUGGCGAAGGCGGGUCUCUGGGCCGUAACUGACGCUGAGGAGCGAAAGCAUGGGGAGCGAACAGG